rnacentral:rRNA from 1 species
UACGUAGGGUGCAAGCGUUGUCCGGAAUUAUUGGGCGUAAAGAGCUUGUAGGCGGUUUGUCGCGUCUGCUGUGAAAUUUCGGGGCUCAACCCCGAACUUGCAGUGGGUACGGGCAGACUAGAGUGUGGUAGGGGAGACUGGAAUUCCUGGUGUAGCGGUGAAAUGCGCAGAUAUCAGGAGGAACACCGAUGGCGAAGGCAGGUCUCUGGGCCGAUACUGACGCUGAGGAGCGAAAGCAUGGGGAGCGAACAGG